GACGAACGCUGGCGGCGUGCUUAACGCAUGCAAGUCGAACGGAAAGGCCCUGCUUUUGUGGGGUGCUCGAGUGGCGAACGGGUGAGUAACACGUGAGUAACCUGCCCUUGACUUUGGGAUAACUUCAGGAAACUGGGGCUAAUACCGGAUAGGAGCUCCUGCUGCAUGGUGGGGGUUGGAAAGUUUCGGCGGUUGGGGAUGGACUCGCGGCUUAUCAGCUUGUUGGUGGGGUAGUGGCUUACCAAGGCUUUGACGGGUAGCCGGCCUGAGAGGGUGACCGGCCACAUUGGGACUGGGAUACGGCCCAGACUCCUACGGGAGGCAGCAGUGGGGAAUAUUGCACAAUGGGCGGAAGCCUGAUGCAGCAACGCCGCGUGCGGGAUGACGGCCUUCGGGUUGUAAACCGCUUUCGCCUGUGACGAAGCGUGAGUGACGGUAAUGGGUAAAGAAGCACCGGCUAACUACGU
rnacentral:rRNA from 1 species